GAUGAACGCUGACCGAAUGCUUAACACAUGCAAGUCAACUUUGGCGGACGGUUGAGUACCGCGUAAAGAACUUGCCUCACGGAUAGUGACCCCAUUUGGAAACGAAUGCUAAUACCUGAUACUGUGAGAGAGCUUUGCGUCCCAUUAGCUAGUUGGAGAGGUAACGGCUCACCAAGGCGAGGAUGGGUAGCCGGCCUGAGAGGGUGAUCGGCCACAAGGGGACUGAGAAACGGCCCUUACUCAUACGGGAGGCAGGAGGGGGGAAUAUUGGACAAUGGACCAAAGUAUGAUCCAGCAAUUCGGUGUGCACGAUGAAGUUUUCGGAAUGUAAAGGGCUUUCAGUUGGGAAGCGGUACCAACAGAAGAAGUGACGGCUAAAUCCGUGCCAGCAGCCGCGGUAAUAC
rnacentral:rRNA from 1 species